GAUGAACGCUGGCGGCGUGCCUAAUACGUGCAAGUCGAGCGAACAGACGAGGAGCUUGCUCCUCUGACGUUAGCGGCGGACGGGUGAGUAACACGUGGAUAACCUACCUAUAAGACUGGGAUAACUUCGGGAAACCGGAGCUAAUACCGGAUAAUAUAUUGAACCGCAUGGUUCAAUAGUGAAAGACGGUUUUGCUGUCACUUAUAGAUGGAUCCGCGCUGCAUUAGCUAGUUGGUAAGGUAACGGGUUACCAAGGCAAGGAUGCGUAGCCGACCUGAGAGGGGGAUCGGCCACACUGGAACGGAGACACGGUCCAGACGCCUACGGGAGGCCGCAGUAGGGAAUCUGCCGCAAUGGGCGAAAGCUUGACGGAGCAACGCCGCGUGAGUGAUGAAGGUCUUCGGAGCGUAAAACUCUGUUAUUAGGGGAGAACAAAUGUGUAAGUAACUAUGCACGUCUUGACGGUACCGAGUCAGAAAGCCACGGCUAACUACGUG
rnacentral:rRNA from 1 species